AUGCAGCCCAGCAGCUUGGAAAGCAGCAUGCAUCAGGAUUCCAGUUUCAACCCAAAUGGAAGACGACAGCUCCUUUAAGUCACCAUGGGCCAACCUUUUUGCCAGGUGUGCCUCAAGGAGCCAUCAUGUUGCAAAAGUCUGGAGAACAAAGAAAUCUAGGUGUAAGGGGAAGAAUGGAAUCGGAAUCAACACCGGUCCUUAUGGGAGGCAGUAGGCUGCUCCAGGGGGCACCAAAAUCCUGACCUGCAAAUUGAUCCAACUAAUUUGUCAAUCAAAUAUUUAAUAAAGUGCCUCAAUUAUCUCACUAAACGAGCUAGUUUA